ensembl:snRNA U6 U6 spliceosomal RNA
GUGCUCACUUUAGCAACACAUAUACUAAAACUGGAAGUAUACAGAGAAGAUUAACAUGGCCCCUGAGCAAGGAUGACAUGUAUAUUCAUGAAGCAUCCCAUAUUUUU